UCUCAAGGGGCCCUGUAGUUCCUCCCCCAGAGCUAUUCCUGGCCUGGGUGCCUCCCCACCCCUCUGUCCCCCUGCCUGACCUGACCCCACAGCUGGGAAUCGCUUGCUGGGGGUGGGGCAGCCCCCAGCUAUAUAAGCCUGGACCUAGGUGUCCUUGCCACCCUGGAGGCCCAGACCCUCCCCUGGCAACCCCUGAGCACUCCAGCUACAUCAGCAGCCGGCCCAACAAUGGCAGAAAAAGCCACCUCCGAGGCUCCUGCCUCUGGCCCAGAGGAGACAGCAUCUGAGCCUGCCAAGGUGCUCACGGCAGGACCUUCUGGAGGAGUGGCAGUAUCAGAGUCCACUGGGGAAGAGCAGGCUGGGGAGCCCCAGGAGCCUGCCUCUCAGGCACCUGUCCCCUCAGCACCUGCAGCCCCUACAACUCCCACAGCUCCUGUAGCCACUAAGCCUGCACCUCCAAGUGAAGAUAUUCCCAGCUCCCCGCUGCUGCUGACCAUCGUGGAUGUGAGCCACAACUCUGUGACUGUGAGCUGGGAGCCCCCCGAGAAGCUGGGGAGGCUGGGGCUACAGGGCUACAUGCUGGAGCUCUGCCGAGAGGGAGCUUCGGAGUGGGUGCCUGUGAACCCCCGGCCCAUGAUGGUGACCCAGCAGACAGUGCGGAAUCUGGUUCUGGGAGAGAAGUUCUUCCUGCGAGUGGCUGCAGUGAGCUCCGCUGGGGCUGGCCCGCCGGCCGUGCUGGACCAGCCUGUCCAUAUCCAAGAGAACAUCGAGCCUCCCAAGAUCCGUGUCCCCCGUCACCUUCGUCAGACCUACAUCCGCCUCGUGGGAGAGUCCAUCAACCUGCAAAUCCCCUUCCAGGGGAAGCCCAAGCCUCAAGCCUCAUGGACCCACAACGGCCAGGCUCUGGACAGCCAGCGAGUGAGUGUGCGCAGCGGAGAUCUGGACUCUAUCCUCUUCAUCCGCUCAGCCCAGCGCUCUGACUCAGGCUGCUAUGAGCUCACCGUGCAGCUGGAAGGCCUGGAAGCUAAGGCCACCAUUGAUAUCCUGGUGAUUGAGAAGCCGGGACCCCCCAAGAGCAUCCGGAUACUGGAUGUCUGGGGAUGCAAUGCUGCCCUUGAGUGGACCCCACCCCAGGACACAGGCAACACAGAGCUCCUGGGCUACACGGUGCAGAAGGCAGAUAAAAAGACAGGGCAAUGGUUCACAGUGCUGGAGCGCUACCAUCCAACCACCUGCACCAUCUCCGACCUCAUUAUUGGCAACUCGUACUCCUUCCGGGUCUUCUCAGAAAACCUGUGUGGCCUCAGCGACUCAGCCGCCACCACCAAGGAGCUUGCACACAUCCAGAAGGCAGAUAUCACUGCCAAACCUAAGGGGUUUGUUGAGCGAGACUUCUCAGAAGCACCCUCAUUCACCCAGCCCCUGGCUGACCACACCUCGACCCCUGGCUACAGCACCCAGCUGUUCUGUAGCGUCAGAGCAUCACCCAAGCCCAAGAUCAUCUGGAUGAAAAACAACAUGGACAUCAAAGGUGAUCCCAAGUACCGUGCCCUCUCUGAGCAAGGGGUCUGCACCCUGGAGAUCCGGAAACCCAGUCCCUUUGAUUCUGGGGUCUACACCUGCAAGGCCAUCAAUGUGCUGGGGGAGGCAUCUGUGGAUUGCCGGCUGGAUGUCAAAGGUGAGGUCACUCCCCAGUGACCCUGCCAUGGAUGGGAGAACAGAGACCACCUCUUUGGAGACUGGACUAGAUGCAGAUCAGAGCAAAAAACUAAGGCAGAACAGACAGGGGCAGUGAGGAUGAGUCAGGCUGUUUGAGUAACUUUCCAAGCAGGAGCAUGGCCCAAUGUUUUGAGGGAGGUGUAACCUUGAGCGUCUCAUUCCCUCCAGCCUUCCCCAAGCUCUAACCUGCAGGAUCUCUUCCAGCCUCAGCCACACACUGAAGAGUGACGGGAAGAGGCUGGGAUGAAGAGACAGGAGAACGGCUGCCAGGCCUGGGGCACAGGCUGGAAGGUGGAAGACCCGAAUGUGGGCCCCAGGUCUGCAGCAUACAAGCUCAACUCCUCCUCUGUAAAAUGAGACCUACUUCGGAGGACAAGGAUCGAAAAAGAUAAUAUGUGCAAAUGCUCUGCAAACACCCUGCCAAGACUCCUUAGCGUGCAGUAACUGACGAUCAGAGAUUAGGAAGCACGUCCAAGGCCACUCAGCCAGAAAGCAGCCAAGAUGGAAUUCCUAAGACUGAGGUGGCCCCACCUCCAGAGCACCUAGCGGACCGUCUCUGCCACUCUGGGAGGUGGAGGUCGCGUGCUGCAGACCCCCACACAGGAAGGGAGCUCCAGGAACCCUCCCUGGAUUGCGCAGCGCCUGGAGUCUCCCUCCUCUGAGUCUGCCCUCUGUGCGCCAUCUGAGUGGCCUGUUCGGGUGCACACACCGCCCAGGCAUUUGGCCAGCUGUCUCGUCCCGCUGGGGUGGACCAGGCAGCUGAGGCUCUCUUCCCUUCAUUCAUUAAGCCUGUACCCUGCAGGCCGAGGGACCAGGUGUAGGGUUUGGGAACACAGAGGGCAGGCAGGCACUCAGGAAAGCACUACUCAGAAGCAAACAAGCCCAGCAGAGCUUUGCAGAGUGAAAAGCCCCAUCCGGAAAGCAGGCAGGGCACUGUGAGAGCCAGCGAGGGGCAGCGUGGGCUGCUGGCUUGAGGUCGGGGGCAAGCAGGGGAGCUGAGAGCAGCUCUGAGGAGCCGAGAGCUGAGGGACCACGCGGAGCCAGCCCGGCGGAGAUGGGGGGGCAGGGCCUCCCUGGAGAAGGUACAGGGGUCUCCUUGGUGGAGGUGCAGGGGCCGAGGAACAGACAGCCUCAAGAAUAGGGGCAAGAGGGGCACGUCCAUCAGACCCCUGGGCAAGGACAGUCGCCUCAGGUGGAGGGGGCCACAGUAAAGAUUCUGGGGUUUAUUCUAAGUGCAGAGGGAAGCUAUUUACAGCAGAAGAACAACAGAACUCAAUCUCUGCUUCUAAAAGCUAACUCAAGGUGCGGUGUGGAGAGUGUGUAAUGGCAGGGCAUGAGUGGCAACGAGAAAGCCAAAGUGGGGCAUUUUACCAUCUAGGUGGGAGGGGAGGCGGAGCUCCAGGAAGCAGGAGUGGGACUGAAUGGAAGGACGUGGCUUUGGGGUAUAUUUGGAAGGGGGUGAACAAGACCUGCUGCUAAGUUUUGCUGUCUGGGUGAUGGAAGGACAGCGCGAGGGAUGGUACUGAUGACAGACUGAGGGGUGGUACUGUCUCCUAAAUCUCCAUCACCUCCUCUCCCCUUGUACUGAACCCCACUAUCCACCUGGGAAUGAGACACCUCCAGUAGAGACUCGUCUUUGGGCACACAUCCGGGCCACCCACCACCUCAGGGCCUUUGCACUUCCUGUUCAUGUCCCAAGAUGCUCAUUCUCUCCUUAUUUAGGUCUCAGGGCAGAUGUCACCUCCUCAGAGAAGAUUCCAGACAAAUAGUCCCUGCCACCCAACAGCCUCUUGCCAUUUUAAAUUUUCCUGAUAGAGGUGAUCUCACUUUCUGGCUCUGUAGCUGGGUGCUGAUGUAUUUGUUUCUCUCCAGGAGAAUGUACAAAGCUCCAUCAUGACAGAGCCUCAAUUUUGCAUGCGCGGCACUGCUUCCAGUUACCUAGGAAGACUCCUCAGUAACUAUCUGUUGAAUGAAUAAUUACACAUAAAAAUGGAUUAACAAAUGUAUACAUCCAUAUAUUCAGAAAUGAUUGACUGAGAGACUACCACGUGACCCAGCUCAGGGAGCCAGAGAUAGAGAUGGAAUGGCAGGUGCUCAGUUAGAGAUGGUCAGUGAAAAAGGCCUGGCCCCAGCUGUGGAGGUAAUCACAGAGCCCUGAUAAGGACACCAUUCCCUGGUUCAUGCCCCCACUGUAUGGCAGCUGCAGGGUACCUGCUGCUGAAUCAGACAGCUAUGGUUCCCUGAGUAGGUCCUGUAAAAUAAGUCUGCAGUGGUAAGGGCCUCUGAUGAGCAAGUGGUACCAGGCCACCAGCCAGUUACUAGCGUGUGCAUGGCAGCUCUGAGCCCAGCAUUGGCCCUGCACAUGGGGAGACCAGCAGAGGCUCCCCUGGCCAGAGCUGGGCUCUGUAGUCUUCCCACCCGCGGUCUAGAGAAGUGGAAUCUCCACGCCCUGCUGAAUCCCAGCAGGAAUCUAAGAGUGUUGAGCUCCUCAACGGUCCUUUGCUUCAUGAACUGUCCCCUUUCACAGAUGAGAUCACUUCCUGUGCACAGAGCAGUGGUCCCUCUCUGCCUACAAGAUAGCCCUAAAGAAUUCUGUUUGAUGGACCAAAACAGCCACUCAGAGGAAGGGGAGAGGUGUUAUCGUCGCUGCAAGAACAAGAAUGGAGCAUGCUGGUCUUGGAGUUGUCUGUUCUUGGCUUUUCUUCCUAGCUCUGCCCCACUCUGUGUUAGCAAGGGGUGGCCCCCGCUGGCUGCAUUUCCUAAGCCCCAGAACUGUGGGACUCAAAGGUCCCAUAGAUAACUGACUCCAAGCUGAGCCACGGUGUGUGUGCUUUGUGAUAAAGUCUCUCGGCUCCUGCGGGUCAGCUGGGUCCAUGGGAAAAUGGAAGCGUUGAAGGAACGCAGAACAAUGGAGAAAGGCACUCUUCCCUCUGUCCCAGUCCAUCUGGGCCACAGUUAUCUGUUUCUUGGCUGGACCUCCCUCCAGACACACUCACCAUGGGUCCAGCUACCACCAGCCAACUGCAGCCCCUAGGCUCUAGAGACAGUCUCCUCCCUUGGUCCUCAGGCCUGGCAGUGGCUCACUGGUCUUGCUACUCUCACUGCCUCCUGUUGGUGUCUCAGCACUCCAUGCCCUGUGUGGCCAGUGCCUGGCAUUGAAGGCCCUCAGUUGUGAGUCUCUGUGCCCCGGGUUUGACCUCAGCAGUUCGGGGUGAGCAGGAAGAACUGAGCCCAGACAUCCCAAAGACUCUCACUCAGCGGUGGGAGUGAGCUGGGAGCCAGCAGCCAGUCCCAGACUCACAGUGAAUCAGAGAGAGAGAGGCCGCGUGGUGGCUGUGGGAAAGGGUGCUGUGGUCUGUAUGAGGGCAGGGAUGAGACAGGGCAGGGUCCUCAGGCCUGGCUGCCCCUGCUUUCUGCCACGCGCUCCUCACCCAGCACUGGGCCCAAGGACGGGGAGACAAGGGUUGGGCAGGGCCGAGACAAGGGGCCGAGACCCAGUGUCUGUCUGCAGUGCUGCAGUCUGGAAGUCGGGGACCGCCUCCUCCAUCUUCUCUUCCGUGCCUUGCUGGAGAGGGAGCCGUAUUUCACAGCUCUGUCCCCUCCCUCUUGCCUCCCUUCUUAUCAAGCAUCUCAGCCACUUGUGACUGGAAACAUGAAUCUCAAGA